UACGUAGGGUGCAAGCGUUAAUCGGAAUUACUGGGCGUAAAGCGUGCGCAGGCGGUGAUGUAAGACAGAUGUGAAAUCCCCGGGCUUAACCUGGGAACUGCGCUUGUUACUGGCAGGCUUGAGUGUGGCAGAGGGGGGUGGAAUUCCACGUGUAGCAGUGAAAUGCGUAGAGAUGUGGAGGAACACCGAUGGCGAAGGCAGCCCCCUGGGCUAACACUGACGCUCAUGCACGAAAGCGUGGGGAGCAAACAGG
rnacentral:rRNA from 1 species